UACGUAGGGUGCGAGCGUUAAUCGGAAUUACUGGGCGUAAAGCGUGCGCAGGCGGUUUUGUAAGCCAGAUGUGAAAUCCCCGGGCUUAACCUGGGAAUGGCAUUUGGGACUGCAAGGCUGGAGUGUGGCAGAGGAGACUGGAAUUCCUGGUGUAGCAGUGAAAUGCGUAGAUAUCAGGAGGAAUACCGAUGGCGAAGGCAGGUCUCUGGGCCACUACUGACGCUGAGAAGCGAAAGCAUGGGGAGCGAAACAGG
rnacentral:rRNA from 1 species